GGGCUCCUACAUGCAUGAAACCGGGGGUGGAUGGUCAACUGUCUGGGCGGGGAGCGAACUGGUCGGCUUUAAUAGGGGGGGCCAAUGACGGUACCGUAAGAAUAAGCACCGGCUAACUACGUGCCAGCAACCGCGGUAAUACGUAAGGUGCGAGCGUUAAUCGGAAUUACUGGGCGUAAAGCGUGCGCAGGCGGUUAUGUAAGACAGAUGUGAAAUCCCCGGGCUCAACCUGGGAACUGCAUUAGUGACUGUAUAGCUAGAGUGCGGCAGAGGGGGAUGGAAUUCCGCGUGUAGCAGUGAAAUGCGUAAAUAUGCGGAGGAACACCGAUGGCGAAGGCAAUCCCCUGGGCCUGCACUGACGCUCAUGCACGAAAGCGUGGGGAGCAAACAGGAUUAAAUACCCUGGUAGUCCACGCCCUAAAAGAUGUCAACUGGUUGUUGGGUCUCACUGACUCAGUAACGAACCUAAACCCGUGAAGUAGACCGCCUGGGGAGUACGGCCGCCAAGGUUAAACUCAAA
rnacentral:rRNA from 1 species